UCCUGCCUACUCAGGGGGUCGGACUCGAUGAUCUACUGAGGUCGCUUCCGACCCUAACAUCUAUGAAUCUAUAAGUGCUGCAGUGCUGUUCAAAAGCAUGUUUAUGUAGUGCCUGUGUUAAAACUUGCAGCAGUUUUAAAAAGUGAUAGCAUACAUCCAUUCUGGAUUAACUGAAGUCUAUGAGUGUAACUGCCUGGGGCUCUCUGUUCCUUUAAGGCAAAAGCAUCCCAGUGAGGGAGCGCUGCAAGGCAGGUAGGGUGCUGGUUGCCAGGGCAACAGAGUAGCUGCAGGUUGCUAGGGGAGUUGGGCCAAUUAGCAGGCACCUGCAGGCAGCCUAGGCAGUCUGCUGAUCGAAAGGAGGCAGGGCCCUGGGAGGAUAUAAGCCUGAGAUUUGAGGCUAGCAGGCUAGUCUCUCCAUGACAGCCAUAGGGUGAAGAGCUCCCAGCAGCAGAGCUCCUGAAGGGACUGUGGUGCUGCACAUGGAUCCCUGCAAUCAAGACAUUCAAACUGGCAAGCAAUUGGGAAUGAUUCACUUCUCCAAGAUUACAGGAGACUGGGAGAUGGCCACACCGGAAGUACCUGGCCCUGACCAACUGGAGCACCGUGGAGGCAGCUAUAAGAAUGCGACAAGACGGAGGGUGAGGGCCCCUGGAUGAGAAGCUGAAGACCAAGUACCAGAAAUUGGUGGAAAUGGAACACACCCAGAUGCAAAAGGGCAUUCUGAAUUCCUGAGCUUUCUGGCAGUCCAACUCUGAAGAACCCAAGCACCACCACAAGUCUAUGUGGGUCAGAUUUUCUUCUGUCCAGAAGAUCACACUUCUGCUGUACCUUCUAUAAGAGUUUUUUAUGAAACCUGUAAUAGGACCCAGGUCAAAGAAACAACGAAGGACUGCAUUUUCAGUUCAUUCCUUAACCUGCUCCCCCUACACUUAGGGGAAUUGUCCUAAUCUAGGUGAGCACCAGAGAACAGAGUACCAGGAGUGUUCCCCAACUCCCCUCUUACCUUUGCAUCUCUGUGUAGCUAAUGCGUACAGUCUUCUUUGACAGAAUAUGCAAUAUUAGUGACUCCAUGAGAUCUAAAUACCUAAAAUAUGUUUAGAGGGGGAUUUCUUUUCCUACUGAAUGUGUCAGUGGAGUGGUACUAGAUGAUCAAACUAGCAGAGUUGCUGCUCUAGAGUGUUCUUACUUUGAACCUGUGCAAAAAAUACUGGCUGAAUCAACUGGAACUAAUGGACUGUUAUUAGUUAUCCUAACUUCAAUCGCAGAAAAAAUAAUGGAAUGAUUAAUUUGGGACUCCUCCAAUAAAGAAUCGGAAGCAAAAAUACAGCUGAUUCCAGACAACGUGGUUCCUUAGAAGGUGUUGUCAAACAAGCAUUUAGGAUAAUUAACAGGGUACACACCAGACCAGGGAACAACCUAUAGCCUGCAGAAAGAAUGCAGCCUCCAGAGCGUUUGGAUCCACCCUGCAUAGUCAUGGCCCCAGUGGCAUUCAGCAACAGGGGUUGCCUACACUACACCAUACUGCAGCAGGGUACCCAGGGCUUCAGCUAAGAGAGAGGUUUCCCUAUGCUGUGCCACAGUCAGGAGGCAAAAGGAAAGGAUGGAAUGUGUCAAGUCCUAGUGUUCGCCCACCUCAGACCCAAGCUGGGUCAUUCUAGUCCCCUGCCAGAAAACAUCAUCAACCCCUGCAGAUUAAGAACUGUCUCACUGACAAAUCUCAAAAUACAGUUGUAAUGGGGAGAGAUCUGUAAACAGAACUGUUGGUAGUUGGGUUCCUCAAGGAUCAGUUCCAGGUCCAACAUUAUUCAGCAUUUUCACAAAUGAUCUAGAAGAUAUUCUGGAAUUUUUAAAACAAGAUUAGUUCUCCUUCUAAAAUAUAAGAUUUAAUCCAGUUUCUGGGAAAAAUUCUACAACCUGCAUAUGUUGGAGGUCAGACUGGAUUGUCUAAGGGUCCCUUCUGGCCAGAGUCUAUGAAUCUGUGAACCUAAGUUUCCUCUAGGGCUCCUUUUGCAAUACAACCCUGCUAUACAGGCCACAGUCUGACCUACACUUAGGCAAUCAGAAUGCAGAUGUUGUAAUUGUACAUGCAGCCUGUGAUCUGUGUAUGCACCUGAGAGUUCUUUCACAUGCAAAUAGAUAUGUCAGGAAAUAUUAAUAGAGCAACUAAAGAACAUGUUUACAAAUUGACCCUAAGUGUCCAGGACUAAUCACUAGACAGAUGGUUAACUGAUUACUUCAAAUGGCUAAUUGAAUUGAUGGGAUCUUACAGCAGAAUUAAAAGCAAGAAAAGUGUUCCUAUGUCAAGAUAGGGAACACACAGAAAGAUCUGUAACAUAAGAUUAAUAACACAGUAAACACCAGUGUAUUUAAAGCAGUAAAAAUAGCCUGGAUGCUCACAUCAAACUCUUCAGAGUAUUUUCAUGGGCAUUCAAGUGCUCUAGUGUAUCUUACAUAUGCUCAGAGUGCUAAGAGCUUUCUGUCCUGGAAACAGGCAUCAUGUUCACUGUCAACAGUGCCUUGACCAAUGAGAUACUAGAAAGUACCUGAGGUGACCAAUUUACUGAAAGCCUCAGAGACAAUUAAUAGGCACAGCCUGUAACCUAACUUCCUGGAAAAGAUGACUGGACAUAAAAUCCAGGCUUCAGAAGAUCUCAGUAGAAGCAUGGCUCAGCAGUUUCCAAAAUGCUGUAGAACCAGAUGAGAGUAAAUCUUGAUAAUUCACAAGCCUUGCAAACAACCACUCCCUCCUUGUCAAGCCAAAACAAACACACCUUUCUGAAAUAACUUUGAAUGUGUUUACUUUCUGGCAAAGAUUAAGUGAUAGAUUGGUAAUUGCAUCUCUUUCAACGCGCUCUUCUGUCUAUAUGAAACUAUUCCUUCCAGAGCAGGCCUGAGGGAAAACAGUGCCCUCAGCUAACUUGUAUUUUGGCAUCCCCUUCCCACCUCCAAGUCAGUGGCACUGCUACAGGCACUGCUGCUGUAUAAGGGCAAGGUGGGUAGACUGGAGCAGGAGCCCACCCUGCAGGUGCCCGGCCCGGCUCCUCCUGAAUAGUGGUUGGAAGCAGGGGGCAGGCUGGGCAGGACUGGGCUGUGCUGGGCACCACUCCUGCCUGGGACAGAAAAUUAGCCAACACAGGCCAGGCAGGGCAGGGCAGGGCAGGGCAGGGGAAGAGGACCAAUAUGUAGUUGUAUGCACCUUAUUUUUCAUUAUGAAAGGCAUUAUGUACUCAAAAACUCCUGAUCACUCAAAUAAUGGUCUAGUUGUAUUUACAACAACUUGCAGAACUGGGCAACUUUUUGUAAUUUUUUAGUUGCUCUUGAUACAAAGUUCAAAAUGUGCAACAGGUUCUCCCGGUAGCUAUAACGAGUGCCUGGCGCAAAAGUAUUAUACAGUCUCCAUUAAUCAAAUAUGGCAAGAGUGAGGAAUUGAACACCAGGCUUGCUUUUACUUCCUGUAAUUUUUUUUUAAACACUCCCUUAUAUUUUGGCCCUUUAUUGGUCUAUUUCUUGUAAAUUCCUGUACAAGUUUCCAGACUCUCUCUCAUGUUCCUUUUUUAUCUUUAUCGGGGUUAGCAAUGUUUUUGGACAGGGUGCCAAAAACACCCUUGAUCUCAAUUUGUAAAAUGUUGGUGUGCCAGGGACAGAUGGCAGAAAAGCCCCAAGAGGCCUGAUCCUUGUUGUGGUAGUGCAGCCCUGGCCCCUUCCCCACCAUCUGCCUCAAGGCACACAUGCCAAGCAAAAGGCCUUCACGUGCCAUGCUCUGGUACCCACGUGGGGAGUUGCUUACUCCUGAUCUAUACCUUUUGCCUCUGCAGUAGGGCUGGCAAAGAAAAAGCUCAGCCCUGCAUCCUUAGGCUGAGAUUCCUGACUGAGUGUUCCACAAGAAAGAACAUUUUGCCCUUAGUCUUUUUAGCCAUCUCAAGUAAACGAAAACCUCAAAUGCGGCAUGGAAGCUUUUCUUGCAACACACCUCACAUGAACUUAAUUUUGUAUCCACUGACAACACACAUGUUUCCAUUAACCCCUAAAGUUUCUGGAUGGUGGGCAACUUUUCUGAUUAAGGAUUGCAGCACUCCUACUACUCUGCUGUUCUUACAGUCACAGGGCUAAUAUUCUUGAACUUAUAGUGCAUGACAUUAGGAAAGAUAUUCUACCUAAGUGCCAUGCUACCAUAUCUUCUCAUACUUCUAAACACUUUGGUCACUUGCUGCCAGCUGACAUACUGAAUUAAGUGCUAGUUCCUCCCAUCAGCCAGGACAGAGGCAGUUGUAUAAAUCUCUACACCCCUACUAACCAGAUCCUCCUAUUCUUCUAGCACCUAUCUUCCCCUAUCUACAGCCUCCACUCCACCUGCCAUUGCUCUCUUUCCAUCAUACACUCAAUCAGGGUUCAGCAAAGCAUCUUCUUCAGCUCCACUCUUCACACUCUACCUCUGCCUCAUUAGCUUUCCAUCUCGCACUGAUUUCCACUCUACCAUCCCACUCCUGAAUUAUUAAAAUGUUUAUAAUGAAGGAGACAACUUUUCAUAAUAAUUUUUUCCUUCAUACAGUUCAACUUGGAUCUGUUCUUUCAACAUCUUCUGGUCAAUAAGAAAAAGAGGAUUUAUCAGGUGGCAUUUCAUACAGUCUUAACUGCACGUAUCAUGUAUAAUACACUGUCACUGAAUUAUGUACUUGCUCUACAUUUAGAAGAGUUAACGAUAAAUAUAGUAACACAAAUGUUUUGGGCAGCCUACUCAGUGACAAUCUAUGUGUUUCUGUACUUAAGUCAGUGAUAUCCUCAGCUGUGAACUACUUGAUUUUCUGGGUACAUACAUGCUACCUUGUAAACACUUCUACCCUUACUAGUUAAGGUACUCAUACUGCUUCCAUUGAAGCCAAUGAAACAUUUCCCACUGAUUUCAAUAAAAGCAGCAGUAGGGUUCUGAAAGGUGCUUAGCAGCCACCAUUCCCAUUGACUUGCAUGAGAAUGGAGGAUGGCUUUCUAGCUCUGCAUCCUGAUUCACCAAUUGUGAGGCUGGUUUUUAAUUUGCUGGAGCCAGAAACAGGAAUAAAGUUCUGGGGAGAUGCCUAAAACAGUUUUGUUUGUUUUACAGAAGAAGCCUGAGCCAAAUUAAGCUCCACCCUUUUUGCUGCCAGUAGCAACUAGCAGAAGGGGUUUAUUAUUGUUUGUAAUAUUUAAAUGGCUUAUUAAACAUUUUGGGCAGAUUUUUAUCUUCUUUUGAGUUUCACAGGGCUGCAACUGGGAGCAGAAUGAGCACCCUGGAACUGGUUUCAUUCCCUGACCCUGAUCUGCCCAGUGUUAGACUAAGGCCAUGGAUGGAAGUUACAUUUACAGCAUUACAAACUCCUUUGUAGUGCUACAAAAGUCAGUCAGACAGAUGUGCACACCCUUUGGAUUGCUACAGAACUAGCAAAGAACCCACAAAUGCUGUGUGUGCAUGUGUGUGUGGCUUUAAACAUAAUAUGAUAUUAAGGAAAAAUAUUUAUGUACACUUAUCCCAUGACAUUUAUUUAUGUCAGGAUUAUACAUCCUCAAAAAAGAGGAUGAUGGAAGCCCAUUGUUUAAACCACAGCAGCAUUGUUAACCAAAUACCUUGGCUAAUAAUAAAUACUUGUCAAUGGCCAGGGUCAGUGCUUCUCUUGUGCUACUAAAUGUAUCACCAUAGUAAGCACAAUGAACAAUCCAAAAUACAAGUCUUUAAAAGAAAACGUUUGCCAAAUAUGCUCCUUGUAUACCACAAUUACAAUAAUAGAUUGACAGUUUGCAUACAAAUACCUUCAUAAAUAAAUCUGUUAGUACCAUGGACAGGUGAUAUUCUGAAGAUAUCUAGUGGAUAAUGCACUGGACUGAGACUCAAGGGACCAGAGUUCAAUUCCUGUUUUUUUUCACAGACCUUCUACAUGACAUUGGAAAAGAUACUUAAUUUCCCUUGUUCUUAGGUAGUACUUUCUUACCUAUCAAGGGGUUUGUAAAGAUAAAAUGACUUAAUCAUUGUAAUGUGCUCAGAUACCUCAGUAAAUAGAGGCUUUUGCACUUAACAGGCCUCUGGUUUCUAACUAAUACUGGAUUGCUUGAAAAAAAAAAAUACUUGAUACUGAAAACUCGUACUUGAUUGCAUAGUACAAUCCAUAACAUUUCUCAAUAUUUUGCAGUAAAUAAGCCAAUCUGCAAGAAUAUGCUGUCUAAAAAUACAAAAUAAACAUAACAUCCCAACCAGCAACCCUUGUAUUCAAGGGAUGGCUAAGGGGCUUUCCUUCUGUGAUAGAGUUCAUUCCAGUCUCUGGUCACAUCAUACUGCUAAACCAUGUUUACUGACUGGCCCUUGCUCAAACAUACUCACAAAGCAGCUUAUUUAUAUCUGAAGUGCUCCCAACUGCACCAAAUGGUAAGUACAGUUACAAACACACUUUCCUGCCUCAUGAAGUAUCAGCCCCAAAUUAAUGUGCUUUCUUUGUCUGUAAGUUUUGCUAACCCCUAGUAACAUUUGGACCUAAGAGUGCCACUUUACUAGCAGCAACAUGAACAAUGUAUUAAAAUAUCUAUAAAAAAGGAGAAAUGUUAUUAGGGCCUUAUCAGGGUUGUUCAGUUUCUUCUCCCUCUGUCAGUCCUAUAAAGUGACGUAGGGGGGUGUUAUCUGCAGGAGAUAAGAACUAGAAUUGGACUUCCAGAGAAAACUGUUGAUGAAAUGGCCUGUUCCCACCAAAUAGUAACAUCAGUUUAUUCUAAGACAGUGGUCAACAACUCAGAGCCAUGGGUGGGAUGUGGCUCUCAGAGCUGCUGGGACUGGCCCACAAAGCCGGAAGGAAGGCUUUGUUUCUGCCCUCACUUCUGCUGAAGCUGGGCAUCAAAGAGCUGCACUGGGUCUGAGCAGCUGGAAGCAGCAAUCACAUCACUGCCACUUCUCCCCACCCCCUGCAUCCCGGCUGCACCACAGGCUCAGCUUCCAGCUGGUGAGGAACUGAACUGGGGCUGGGCAGCUUCCAGCUACACACACAUUGCAGCUGUGAGUGGAGGGAAGAGAGGAAAAAGCAGCAGUGCAGAUGCAGCAUCUAGCUCUCCAGCUCCAAUGCAGCUCCCCAUCAGCUGGAAGCUGUGCUCAGGCAGAAACUCGGGAACAGGAGGCUAGGAGAAGUGGUGCCAAUGCAUCUACCAGCUGCCUAGCCCUGGCAUGGGCACAAGCAAACCCCCUUUGCUGCUGACAUGCUGUGGAAGCCACCCCACCCACACCAGGCAGAAACCAGGUCGUUCCAACCCACAGCAUGAAAAAGCUUCCAGCCCCUCUUCUAAGCUAUAGUUUGUCCCCAGACUAUUGGAUACUUUUUCUGAAAACCUGUAUAUAAGGGAACUGUUGCUGAAAUGGGCCCUGUUACAUGGCAGAGUAACAGAAGUCAAGAGACCCUGUUACUUUAAGACUCCUUUCUAAGAAGGAAAGAACAGCAGGCUGAGGCUGCAAUUUGCUGUGUACAGCUGAGCUAGGGCCAGGUACAUGAGAGUAGCAGCCAAGGGAAGGCCAAGAUAGUGGCUACAGGGUUUCAAGUGCAUCACAGUAGGCAAAAAGGCAAAGCACAAGGCAGGGAGGAGAACAAUGACUGUGGCUCAGCUGAGCAAAUUGCAGGGAAAUGUGCAGAGAGCUGAGGGGACACACCUGUGGCUGGUCAGAAAAGCACAUGACCAAAACAGAUGGAGCCCAGGGAAAUAUAAGCUGAGCUCCAGAACAGUCACUCUAGUCUAGAUCCUGAAAAGGAAGGAGGUCUUGUUAGCAUUACCUACUGCAGCAUGGAAGCUGCAGACCUAAAGAAAUACCUGGAAGGGAGCCAGCUGAUUAGGAUAAGGUUCCUGUGGUAGUAUAGAGCAGUGGCUCUCAACCUCUGUAGAGUUUAGACAAUGCUUGUUAGGACUUGAGGCACUGUUUAGACAAUGCUAACUCUUCUUUUUCACCUUUUACUAUGAUAAAAGAAUAGAAUAAUUCUUCUGUUCCAAAGAUCAAAACAGGUCAGAAUGUUUUUAACUCUACAACUUAUGUGAAAUCUGUUUAUCUUCUGAACUGUGUUUGUACACUUAACAAUGCUAACUAACGUUCUAUGGCACCCUUGAAAGGAUCUCCAGGCACUGCAGGGUGCUGAAGCACCCUGGUUGAAACAUUAUUGAUACAGUAUAUGGUUAGAGACUACUUUGGUUUGGAACUUUUUCUGGUUUAACUGGUGGCUUGGAAAUGACUAUCAAGGGUGGAUUGCAGGCCACACUACAGGGUACCUGUGGCACUCUACAUUUUGAGCUCUGCCCCAUGCAGAAGCACAAAGUAGGCUGAGGCCAGAAUCGGGAGGUUAAGGCUGUGACAGCUACAGUCAGAAACAAGGUUGAGUGGGGGGGCUGAAACCAAGAUGAGACCAAGGCUGGAGGGCUAACAGAGGCAGCUAUCCUGCUGGGGACAGGGGCCUGGUGGGCUGAAUGAGUAUAUGUGAAGAUGGGGCCAAAAGGGCCUUCUACAUAAAGGUAGAGUAAAACCUGUAAGGUAUAGGUGUGGCUAUGGGGGAAGCUGCAGUCUAUGAUUAGGGGUGAAGACCCAGAUAGCUACACAAAGGGAUGGGUACCCUGAGAGGCAGCUGGUCUAAGCACAGGGUAGUGCUACUGAGGCACCAGGUGGUUUAGCCCGGGGCUUGAAAAACAUAUUGGGAAAAACAAGUGACUGAGGCCAAACACGAAGAAAGCACCCCAAGGCUUUCUUUGAGUCUCCAAAGGCAAGCUCCCAAAUCUAUCGGUCAUCAAAAAUGUGGCAGCUGAAAAGGAGGCAGUAGGCUUGGGAGGUCAAAGUCUGCAGGGAAGGACAAAUUCAGUUGCCAGAGGGAGCCAUGGUUGUUGUCUUCAAGGGCCAGGAAAGGGGGUGUAAGCAAGUCAGUGAGCCUAUUGUCUUCCAGGCUGGCCUUGCUGGGGGGGGGUGCUCCUCAGCUAGUUACUUUUAAGAUGGGUUGGUGAGCGUGCUGACUUUCAGUCUGACUUUGCCUUGGGGGCAAAGUCUGCUGGAGCUACAUUCAAGGAACUGGCUGAGUAAGCAAGUCUUACUCAAACCAACUGAAACUUGUAGCCCUUCUCUGGGCCCUGAGAGGCCCUUUUGCUCUGGCCCCUUCCUAGUAUCAAGCUUAUCUAUGUUCCAGUCAGCCUUCUGCCCACAGACCACUUCUUCCCCCUAGCUCAACUCUCCCUGUUCUCCCCUCUGGGGUUUUAACUGCCAGUGAAGUACUCAAAGUAGUUAAUUUCCUGCAGUUCGACUGUUACAACAUGGCUUUUUGCUCCCACUUAAAGGGCCAGCCCACCUUGUUACAAAGGCAAUGGAAAGAAAUUCUAAAAUCAAACUGUUAUUAACCUAGUGACUUAACUGACUUAACCCAAACUUGAGCAGUGUAUAGAUAUCACUACAUAUAGAAAGUCAGAGAGGACCAGCAACUGGCAUGACAAUCAAAGUCUGCUUAUUGUCUUUCAGUUUAAGUAUAUAUCCACUGGCUACACUUCAAGUGGUCUUCUUUUUAUAUUUUAAGGCCAAAUUCUGCACCUAGGUAUUUCCCACAAUUCUAUUUAAUCCAUUAGAUGAAACACUCUAGCUCUUACGUUGAACUCUGGCUGAAGUUAUUAAGAUGUGUGACUACACAUCUGGGACAUAAGGCCCAGUCCUCUGCCCUAUUCUAGUUCUGGCAUUGCUGAGUCUGAGCAAAGCAGCUAGAAAUCUGCCCUAAAUGGAAAAACUAAGAUUUUUUUCCCAGGAAAUUCUCUCCAGAGAUGCUACAAGUCUAGGCCUGUGCGAAGUGCCUAGUAUUUGCUUCGGAUUCGGCAGAUUCAGGAGCCAGUGAUUCAAUUCAGUGAUUCAAAUCACUGUCCCAAAGUGAUUCAGCCAAAUCCAAUUCAG